AAGUAAUGGAAAAGUCUAUCUUUAUUCAUAACAUAGAUGUUCCUUAUAUAGGAGAUUAUACCGUCAUACAUAAAUGGAAAGAUUACAAAUCAUAAUCUCUUGGUUAUGAGUCACCCACAAUCUAGUUCAUAACAAAUCUUUAUUACUUUGGCGAGCAAACUUCCACUGCCACCACUACUAAGUUGAUGCAUCCUUCAGAAGUAGUGAGUCCUUUAUCUACCGGAAUAACUGAUGCAAUAUUCCAAACUUCCUUUAUAGACCUCACUUUCCAUUUUGCCACUCCUCUUAACACUGCAC
rnacentral:lncRNA from 1 species